UCCAACAGCCUCGCUCCUGCGCAAGGGUGUGCCCAAACCCUAGCCGCCCUCUUCCGAUCUCUCCCCUCUGACUCGCCAUACAUAGCUGCGGCGGCGGCGGCGCGCGGCCAUGGAGACUCAGUGGUGGGCGCGGCCGUGCUCGCGUGCUCGGAGCUGCAAACUAGAGGCGCCGAUGUGAACCGAGGAGGAAGAGGUCUUCCGUGUGGAUCUCAGCGACGGCGUUUAGUCCCACGACUUGUUCCACCAGAUCCAGGUGCCCGGCGAUGAGGAUGAGGAGCAGCGACUUGCACCAGUAGAUCCAGAUGUCUAGGAAUGAGGAUGAGAAGCGGUGCCCUGGCAUACGGUAGAAAUCUCCAUGAAUGGUGGCUUUCUACCGUAACUUCCCCUUGGUUCCCCCUCAAAUCGAUCUUCAAUUUUUAGCCUUUCAAGUGAAGUUCAAUUUUGCAUUCCAUUCAUGGAAUAGUUACUGGAAUCUUAUGGAAAUAAAAAAGGAGACGCUAAGGAAAAUCUUUUGACUUGUGUGGCUGACGUUUUUAUGCAGUUAACAUACACAUAGGAUUAGUUUAUGCCAAAUAAAGUAAAUGGCACUUUGUAAGGUGGGCAUAGGUGUAAUUUCUUGUCAAAAUUUUCCUUUUUUGGGUAUCACUUACACUAGAGGUUGAAACAAUGAUUCCAUAUACAGGAUGCCAAUUAUAG